GCUCGAGCACACCCGUAAGACUAAGACCUUGCUAACUUUGGGAGUGGUGCACUAGUAGUAUCUUUAGCGAGCGCGCCGCCCACCUCAGGAUGGUGCCCCGACUCAUAACCAAACAAAACACCAUUGUUCCCUUCCGCCUACCACCACCCCUCCUUUCUGGCGACCACCACCUCCGCCACUUCCUCUUCCGUGAUGGCCUUCUCCGCCGACGCUUCCUCCCCUAAGAAGGACCCACCCUCCCCCGCAGUGCUUGCCGCCUCCGCUGCAGCAGAGGCGGCGGCGUCCCGCUGUCAGUCACCUUCCCCGUCACCGUCCCCCUCGCCGGAAAGAUCCGCUUCCCUGCUUCCCCUACCGGCGUCUCUCCCGCCACCGCUGCCCUCCUCCUCCGCCACCCGCCGGCUGGCCGCCCCCAUAUGGACCCACGAGGAGAUCCUUGCCCUCAUCGGCGCCUACCGUGACAAGUGGUACGCCUUGCGUCGCGGCAACCUCCGCGCCUCCCACUGGCAGGAGGUCGCCGACGACGUCGCCGAUCGCUGCCCCUCCGGCCCCUCCCCGCCCAAGACCUACAUACAGUGCCGCCACAAGGUCGAGAAGCUCCGCAAGCGCUACCGCAGCGAGCGCCGCAAGUCCCUCCAGUUCGACACCUCCCUCCCUCCCUCCUCCUGGGUCUACUUCCGCAAGAUGCACGCCACGGAGCACGGUGGCAGCGUAGAAGUAGGCGAACCCCACCGACCGUCCGCCUGCCAAUCCUCGGUCCCGCCCCACCCGCCCUCCUCCGACGACGAAGAGAAUGACGACUUCGAGCACCGCGGCGCUGGCGGCGGGAGCAACACCCAAAGUCUCCACCACCUCAUGACCAACGGCGGCUGCGCGAUCGGUGAGCUCAGAUUCACGAUCCCCAAAGCAGUCCGGUCCAAGGUCUAUAGAGCUGACGACAGGGUCGCGCCGAACCCUAACGCCGCCACCACCCGCUUCUUCAAGGGUUUCAGCGGCGUGGGGCCCGUGAAGGAGGAGAUGCGGCGCAAGAUGGAGAAGAAGAUGAGGAGGAGGAGGAGGAGGAGGAGGUUGGAGAUGGAGUCGAGUGCGGUCAGGGAAAUGGUGUCGGCGCUGAGAAUGCUGGGUGACGGGUGCCUGGGGAUGGAACAAAGGAAGAUGGAGAUGGCGCGGGAGAUAGAGGAGGAGAGGAUGGAGAUGGAGCUGAAGCGCACGGAGCUUAUCCUCGACUCACAGCGCCGCAUCCUCGAUGCGUUCUUGAAGGGUCUCUCCGGGAAGAAGCGGGCGAAGGUGUCGGCCGAGGAUUGACAAGGUUCCAUUCAUAUCAGAAAGGGGAAUCCACAUCCAUGAUUGAGAUAUGUUGAUGCAGUCUGCCAGCUGAGCUGUUGUUUCUUUAUUUAUUUAACAGUGUAAGGAAAUCACAUGUUCUUUGGAUGCAAGGUUCGUAGAUAUUUUAUGGAUCAAGUUAUUAAAGUGGCUGUCUAGCCAUAUGCAACCUUUUAACCGAGGAAAAGCUAUUGUUGUUAAAGCUCCAUUAGCACGUUGCCAGGUCCUGCCACAGAACUGGAGCAAGUGAUGAUGGGUUCCAUGACGGCCGAACAAUCAUUGGACUUGGUUGCCAAUUCAGAUUCUGGACAUCCAAUGGGAAGUCCACAUGGAAACUUACUGUUGCUUGGCAUGGCAUGGCAUUUGAGCCACCCCAAAAGGCCAACAGAGGUCAACAACACUGGCGCGCUACGGCCCCUGUACCUCCAGCUUUCCCUGCUGCGGCGGAGAUGGUUCGCCAUGGUUGCCCUCGGAAGCCCCCCUUUCCAUCUCCAUCUCCUCCGCGUGGAACGUGGAGUGAACGCCAUACAGCGCAUAGAACAAGGUGAUGAAGCAGCUCCACAAGACAAACCUCAGGAAGGACCUCUUCUUGAGUCUAGCCAUGAGGAACACGCUGAGGAAGAUGGAGGCAGCCGCCGGCCACGGCAUCAGCGGAACCGACCACUCCGCCGUGCUGCGGUUGCAUGGGACUUUGCGGUGGAAGAUCCCGGUGAUGGCGAUGGCGGCCGUGCCGAACAUUGCUAGUCCCCACCAGUACCCGCCGUUGAGCUUCCAUGAAAGGGAAAAGCCAAUCGAAGUCGACGUGAGCAGCACAAGGAAGAGGAGAGUGGGGAGGGGACUGCUGAUGCCGCCGCUGCCGCCGAGCUUCACGUAGCGUCGGUAGAUGAGUGCGCCGGCCACCAGGUAGAAUACUAUCUGCGUUCCGAUCGAUAUCAUCUCGAUUACUAUUUCGAGGUCCGUGAAGAGUGCGAUGGACGCUGUACAUAUCCCUGCAUUAUGAAGGAGAAAUCUUCUUAUA